rnacentral:rRNA from 1 species
UACGUAGGGUGCAAGCGUUGUCCGGAAUUAUUGGGCGUAAAGAGCUCGUAGGCGGUCUGUUGCGUCGGCUGUGAAAACCCGGGGCUCAACCCCGGGCCUGCAGCCGAUACGGGCAGACUAGAGUUCGGCAGGGGAGACCGGAAUUCCUGGUGUAGCGGUGAAAUGCGCAGAUAUCAGGAGGAACACCGGUGGCGAAGGCGGGUCUCUGGGCCGAUACUGACGCUGAGGAGCGAAAGCCAGGGGAGCAAACGGG